GAAGCGCAGUAAUGUGUGGAGCUAACCGGUCCUAAUAGUUCUUUUCGCGCUUG
rnacentral:rRNA from 1 species